rnacentral:rRNA from 1 species
UAGGGAAUCUUCGGCAAUGGGGGCGAACCCUGACCGAGCAACGCCGCGUGAGUGAAGAAGGUUUUCGGAUCGUAAAGCUCUGUUGUAAGAGAAGAACGUGUGUGAGAGUGGAAAGUCCACACAGUGACGGUAACUUACCAGAAAGGGACGGCUAACUACGUGCCAG